rnacentral:sRNA from 1 species
UGAAAGUCUCAGGGGAAUCGACGCGAU